rnacentral:rRNA from 1 species
CCUACGGGCGGCAGCAGUGAGGAAUAUUGGUCAAUGGGCGUAAGCCUGAACCAGCCAAGUCGCGUGAGGGAUGAAGGUUCUAUGGAUCGUAAACCUCUUUUAUAAGGGAAUAAAGUGUGGGACGUGUCCUGUUUUGUAUGUACCUUAUGAAUAAGGAUCGGCUAACUCCGUGCAAGCAGCCGCGGUAAUACGGAGGAUCCGAGCGUUAUCCGGAUUUAUUGGGUUUAAAGGGUGCGUAGGCGGCCUUGUAAGUCAGCGGUGAAAGUCGGAGGCUCAACCAGAGAAUUGCCGUUGAGACUGGGAAGCUGGAGUACGUUUGAGGCAGGCGGAAUGCGUGGUGUAGCGGUGAAAUGCUUAGAUAUCACGCAGAACCCCGAUUGCGAAGGCAGUCUGCCAAGCCAUGACUGACGCUGAUGAACGAAAGCGAGGGGAUCAAACAGGAUUAGAUACCCGUGUAGUC